GACAGAGGUCCCGAGCGUUGUUCGGAUUCAUUGGGCGUAAAGGGUGCGUAGGCGGCUUGAUAAGUCAGUGGUGAAAGCCGAUCGCUUAACGAUCGAACUGCCAUUGAUACUGUCGGGCUUGAGUAUAGAUGAGGUAGGCGGAAUUGACAGUGUAGCGGUGAAAUGCAUAGAUAUUGUCAAGAACACCAAUUGCGAAGGCAGCUUACUAAGUUAUAACUGACGCUGAGG
rnacentral:rRNA from 1 species